rnacentral:rRNA from 1 species
CCCUUAGAUGUUCGGGGCCGCACGCGCGCUACACUGACGAAUUCAACGAGCUUAUAACCUUGGCCGAAAGGUCUAGGUAAUCUCCAAAAUUCGUCGUGAUGGGGAUAGAUUAUUGCAAUUAUUAAUCUUCAACGAGGAAUGCCUAGUAAGCGCAAGUCAUCAGCUUGCGUUGAUUACGUCCCUGCCCUUUGUACACACCGCCCGUCGCUCCUACCGAUUGAAUGGUCCGGUGAAGCGUUUGGACUAUGGUUUUCUGACGGUUCGCCAUUGGAUUACCGUGGGAAAUUCGUUAAACCUUAUCAUUUAGAGGAAGGAGAAGUCGUAACA